CAAGUGCAUGUGAAUGUGCUUAUUCAUAUUUUGUUCUGUUUUCUUCCAGUUAUUCUGCAGACUCUUCUGCUGUCUACCCCAGAUUGACAGUGGUCUAUGGAGUACAAGUUGAGAAACACUGGUUUUAAAGUGUGCUGCUUUACUAAAGGGAUGACCAAUAGAAAAGUGAUAUGCACCCAAGAUUUGCAGUGAUGUGAUUUCUGUUCCUCUUCUCAGAACCAACUUCUGCUUUUCUCUCUAGCUCUCUGAUGCAGUGAAGCCUGAGCCGCUCAAGCCACGAACAAAUUCCUUUCUGAAAUGGAGUCUGAGGAAUCUUCCAUGUGCAGGUCAGCGCUGAGUGGAGGGGAUUAAGGGAUUGUCUUUAGCAAUCUGUAAGAGGGGUCCGCUGCUGGCGAUAGCCUUGAAAAGAAUGUUUGUCAUCUGCACGGCCUGGUGUGGGAAAUUCGCAGGAUCACUGCAUCCAGCACUGCGAUUGCCAGAGAGCUCUCUCUCAAGCCAGAAGGAGCCUCGGCCAGGAAGCAAAGGCAGUAAUAGCAGUGGUUGGAAAAUGGAGCUGACAGCAAAUGUGAAGCUCAAAUUCUUCAUGUUUUCCUUCCUGAGGGCUCGAAGAUACUACAAGAGAUGUUGGAUGUGACAUGAAACAGGGGUCUAUUUACUACAUUUUGCAAGAGCUGAUAACUCCUGUCUUCUGGCUGAAGUCCAGCGUGAGUAACUAUUUUCAUACCUAAAAUUCCUCUACCGUUUCAGCUCAACGUGUUCUUCACUUCCUGAGUUAAACUGUGCAGCCCAGGAAUUGCUAAAUGGCAAGUGCCAAGCCUUAGCUCUGUUUUGGAUGAGCAAGGCUCCCUGGGAAAAAAGGAGAGAGGGAACGUUUGUUCCUAUAAAUUUAGUUCCUAGGGCUGUUCCCCACAGCUCUCUAAAGAGUCCAAUACACAUCUUCAUUGCAAUAAGAAAAUGAGAGAAUGGGAGAAAGAGCUGAAUCCAUUUGAGAUUUACAUGAGCAAUUGUCACAAGGGCAGAAAGCUACUGGACAUAGAGUCUCAUCAGCGUUGUCCUAAGGUGGUUCUGUGCUGAGCUCCUCCUGCAUGAGCUUUUUUUUUCCUCGGUGAGUCUUUCCACAGUAGAGAUCCUCCUGGUGGCAAAUCCCUUUUGCCUGGGAGACCACUUCUGAGUACAGCCA
rnacentral:lncRNA from 1 species